GACGUAGGGGGCCAGCGUUGUUCGGAAUUACUGGGUGUAAAGGGUUCGUAGGCGGUGCGGCAAGUUGGGAGUGAAAUCUCUGGGCUUAACCCAGAGGCUGCUUCCAAAGCUGCUGUGCUUGAGUGUGGGAGAGGCGCGUGGAAUUGCAGGUGUAGCGGUGAAAUGCGCAGAUAUCAGGAAGAACACCCGUGGCGAAGGCGGCUCUCUGGGACGGUACUGACGCUGAGACGCGAAAGCGUGGGGAGCGAACCGG
rnacentral:rRNA from 1 species